CAUUGAGAACGGAAAUAAGUUGGAGAGCUUGCUCAAAGAGUGGCGAACGGGUGAGUAACACGUGGGUUACCUGCCUUCAAGCUGGGGAUAACAGUUAGAAAUGAUUGCUAAUACCGAAUCUUGAAGAUGGGCCUGCGGCGUAUUAGAUAGUUGGUGGGGUAACUGCCUACCAAGUCAACGAUGCGUACCGGACUGAGAGGUUGAUCGGCCACACUGGGACUGAGACACGGCCCAGACUCCUACGGGAGACAGCAGUUAGGAAUAUUCGGCAAUGGGCGAAAGCUGACCGAGCAAUGCCGCGUGUGAGAUGAAGGCCUCUGGUUGUAAAUCACUUUUAUUAGGGAAGCGGUACCUUUUGAAUAAGCCCCGGCUAACUACGUGCCAGCAGCCGCGGUAAUACGUAGGGGGCGAGCGUUAUCCGGAUUUAUUGGGCGUAAAGCGUGUGUAGGCGGUUUAUUAAGUCCGAGAUGAAAGGCUGAGGCUUAACCUCAGUUUGUUUCGGAAACUGGUAGACUAGAGUGCAGUAGAGGCAAUUGGAAUUCAUAGUGUAGCGGUAAAAUGCGUAGAUAUUAUGAGGAACAUCAGUGGC
rnacentral:rRNA from 1 species